UGUUUUGUAAAUGCUGCGUGACUGUGGCGUGUUUUAAUGCGCGUGCGCGAAACGCUGGAGCGGAUCUGAGUUGCCAUGGAAACGGGGAAACGUCAGGCAGCAAGACUCCGUCUCGCUGUUGUUUUCACUGAUUUUAGGGGAGACAGAAAACCCCCUCUACAACAAAGGGGAAGCUGACAGAGGAGGAGGAAACACAGAUCCUUCCAUGCUGAUGGCCUCCUGCACCCCAGCAGAGCUGAGCGACCUCCUGUCAAAGGCCAUGAACCAGAUGACUAUAGUAAGCAAAACCUCAAUCAUUCAGUACACUACUGUUGAAAAGUUGUGGGUCUGUAAGGUUUUUACUUGUUUUUGAAAGAAGUCUCACAUUUUAAAAUCAUUAACCCCGGGUUGUUUCAGUGAGAUUGUCCUUGAAAGGCCUGUAGGCUAAAUAAUCAGCUAAAAGAGGUCUGUUUUGAGUUAUGUUUUCAAGUGAAGAGACGCCAUACUGUUCCACUCAAAGAUGAGAUGUAAUCUCUAGCGUUUGGAGCUGUGAUUCUUCAGGACAAGAUGCCAUUCACACUUGAUACAUGAAGAUGCACAUCACUGACAGGCUUUCCUGUGUAACACUGAUUCAAGUUUUCCACCAUUGUAUUUAUCCAAAUGAGGAUCUCAGGGAUCCCCAGUUGAAGGCAUCAGGACAUCAGAUGUUGGCCUGGACAGAUGUACCAACAGUACACCACAAUGACCUCUGCUUUUAAAAGGAUGGCUGAUUACUACCAUGCUCUGUGAGGGUAUUGCUAUAGCAAAACUGAGCACCUGUGAUAGUGGGAUUUUCUAAAGAAUAGUCAAACAUCAGUAAAUUAUUAUUAUUAUUAUUUUUUUUAUUAAAAAAUUUGAAAGAAUUUUUAAAAGUUGCAAACUUUUUUCUCCAGUUACAAAAACAGCUGUUACACCUUUUCAAAUUCUUCAUUGGAGGUGCACAAAUCCUAUUUCACAAAUUAAGAAAUUCAUAUGCUCACAUUUAAGCCAUGUUCUUCGGACACUGUAACAGUCCUGAUAUGUCACACUUUGCAGCAUAUUUUUUAUUAACAUGAAUUCAAAUUUUAACAAACAGUAAUAUAUUCAAAAUGUAAAGAUAUACAAUCUGACAAUCUGAUCUUGUCAUUAUUAAUCAAUCAGUAAUCAACACCGCACCACCCUGAAAUUACAUGCACUGUAGAAGUAUGGUUUUGGCAAGAAAUGAACAGUAGCUAAAUAUUUAUUAUAAAUGCUACUAUUUGACAUUCAAUAUUUUAGUCUAAAAAAAAUUGAGCCUAUGAGUUUCUUAAUUUGUGAUUUGUAUUUGCACUAAGUGACAAUAGCACAUUUUCUUACACUAGGUGAAAACAGUGAUAGAUUCUAUUUACACCAUGUAAAGUAUCAGUUCUUUGCAAUUUGAACCUGCAUCAAAAGUCAGAACUCCCUACUCGCUACUGCUGUCACUAAAGACGUUGCCUUCUGUGCUUCUUUUUUAAAACUUGAGUGGCCCAAAAGCUAGUGUAAAUAGCGUUUGCCAACAAGGGACGCUAUUUGCACUUUAUGUAAAUAGACACUCCGAAAUUUAAAAGGUGUAACUGUUGUGUUGUGUUUUUGAGAGAGAAAGGAACUAAGUUUUCAACUCCUAAAACAUUUUGAUGACUUCACUGAAAUAUUGUCUACACCUUCCACUGUCGGGUGUUCAGUUUCACUACAAUAAUGCUAGAUACAAUACAGCAUGUGCAUAAUUGAGUCGCUAUUCUAACAGCUGGGGGCUAUAGACUUAUAAUAAAUGAGCAAUAUUAUAAUAAAUAUGCACAUUGCUUUCUGUAUUCAGAGUUUUGUUUUUACUCUGCUAGAGAACCACCUGUUUACAUUUAGAUAAAAAUGAAAUAUUUUAAUUUUGAUAUGUCAAUAAUAAUUAUAAAAUAAAUAAAAUAUUCAUAAACUUUGAAAUUAAAAAAGUAAUUAAAAAAAUAUAUUUCAUUGUCCAUGGUAUUGAAAUUGCGGGUUACAUCUUUGUCACCAUUUUCACCCCUGAUGAGUUUACAUCCCUGUUGUUACAAGAGCAAGGAACUUACAUUUUAAUUGCAAAGGAAAACCAAUUCAUCUGCUAUAUUCUUCUGUCCUCCAUUGUCAAGGGUAAGAUUUCUUUAUAAAUCAUCUACUGACCCAUAUGUCUUUAUUUUUGUUGAACACAAAAGGAGAGAGUCACAUAGUCUCAGUCACCAUUAGAAAAGAAGCAGUGAUAGUGUAUUCUGACUCAGGCUGUCAGUCUCUUGAUGUUCUGCCUUACAUCUCCUUUUGUGCUCCAAUAAAAAUAACACAUUUGGUACAAAAGAACAUGACCAGUUUUAUACUUGAGUAAAUAUUGCUUUUAAUUUGUAACUUAUUAUUUAUAAUAGCCUAUAAUUAACUUUUAUACCUCUUUGUGUGUAUUUGAGUGUAAAUGCCUUUUCUAUGUUAGUCUUGUAUAGAAGGUUUGUAUGCUCUAACGAUGUAGGCUAUUUGUAACUGUAUUUUGUAAAUAUUAAAGCAAUGUUAACUGAU